UCGAGGGGAAACGAUGAGAGAGCUUGCUCUCCUAGGCGUCGACCGGCGCACGGGUGAGUAACGCGUAUCCAACCUGCCCAUUACAGGGGAAUAACCCUGCGAAAGUAAGACUAAUGCCCCAUGGUAUUCUCAGCAGACAUCUAAUGAGGAUUAAAGAUUUAUCGGUUAUGGAUGGGGAUGCGUCUGAUUAGCUUGCUGGCGGGGUAACGGCCCACCAGGGCAUCGAUCAGUAGGGGUUCUGAGAGGAAGGUCCCCCACAUUGGAACUGAGACACGGUCCAAACUCCUACGGGAGGCAGCAGUGAGGAAUAUUGGUCAAUGGGCGCAAGCCUGAACCAGCCAAGUAGCGUGCAGGAUGACGGCCCUAUGGGUUGUAAACUGCUUUUUAAGGGGAAUAAAGAGGGGCACGCGUGUCCUGUUGCAUGUACCCUUGGAAUAAGGACCGGCUAAUUCCGUGCCAGCAGCCGCGGUAAUACGGAAGGUCCAGGUGUUAUCCGGAUUUAUUGGGUUUAAAGGGAGCGUAGGCCGCAGGUUAAGUGUGUUGUGAAAAGCAGUCGCCCAACGUCUGCCUUGCAGCGCAAACUGUCCUGCUUGAGUGCGCACAACGCAGGCGGAAUUCGUCGUGUAGCGGUGAAAUGCUUAGAUAUGACGAAGAACUCCGAUUGCGAAGGCAGCUUGCGGGAGCGCAACUGACGCUGAAGCUCGAAAGUGCGGGUAUCGAACAGGAUU
rnacentral:rRNA from 1 species